GAGUGAUGAAGGUUUUCGGAUCGUAAGCUCUGUUGUUAGGGAAGAACAAGUGCCGUUCAAAUAGGGCGGCACCUUGACGGUACCUAACCAGAAAGCCACGGCUAACUACGUGCCAGCAGCCGCGGUAAUACGUAGGUGGCAAGCGUUGUCCGGAAUUAUUGGGCGUAAAGGGCUCGCAGGCGGUUUCUUAAGUCUGAUGUGAAAGCCCCCGGCUCAACCGGGGAGGGUCAUUGGAAACUGGGGAACUUGAGUGCAGAAGAGGAGAGUGGAAUUCCACGUGUAGCGGUGAAAUGCGUAGAGAUGUGGAGGAACACCAGUGGCGAAGGCGACUCUCUGGUCUGUAACUGACGCUGAGGAGCGAAAGCGUGGGGAGCGAACAGGAUUAGAUACCCUGGUAGUCCACGCCGUAAACGAUGAGUGCUAAGUGUUAGGGGGUUUCCGCCCCUUAGUGCUGCAGCUAACGCAUUAAGCACUCCGCCUGGGGAGUACGGUCGCAAGACUGAAACUCAAAGGAAUUGACGGGGGCCCGCACAAGCGGUGGAGCAUGUGGUUUAAUUCGAAGCAACGCGAAGAACCUUACCAGGUCUUGACAUCCUCUGACAAUCCUAGAGAUAGGACGUCCCCUUCGGGGGCAGAGUGACAGGUGGUGCAUGGUUGUCGUCAGCUCGUGUCGUGAGAUGUUGGGUUAAGUCCCGCAACGAGCGCAACCCUUGAUCUUAGUUGCCAGCAUUCAGUUGGGCACUCUAA
rnacentral:rRNA from 1 species